GAUGAACGCUGGCGGCGUGCCUAAUACAUGCAAGUCGAGCGAAUGGAUUGAGAGCUUGCUCUUAUGAAGUUAGCGGCGGACGGGUGAGUAACACGUGGGUAACCUGCCCAUAAGACUGGGAUAACUCCGGGAAACCGGGGCUAAUACCGGGUAACAUUUUGAACCGCAUGGUUCGAAAUUGAAAGGCGGCUUCGGCUGUCACUUAUGGAUGGACCCGCGUCGCAUUAGCUAGUUGGUGAGGUAACGGCUCACAAAGGCAACGAUGCGUAGCCGACCUGAGAGGGUGAUCGGCCACACUGGGACUGAGACACGGCCCGGACUCCUACGGGAGGCAGCAGUAGGGAAUCUUCCGCAAUGGACGAAAGUCUGACGGAGCAACGCCGCGUGAGUGAUGAAGGCUUUCGGGUCGUAAAACUCUGUUGUUAGGGAAGAACAAGUGCUAGUUGAAUAAGCAGGCACCUUGACGGUACCUAACCAGAAAGCCACGGCUAACUACGUGCCAGCCGCCGCGGUAA
rnacentral:rRNA from 1 species